GAUGAACGCUAGCGGCAGGCUUAACACAUGCAAGUCGAGGGGUAGAAGGAGCUUGCUCCUUUGAGACCGGCGCACGGGUGCGUAACGCGUAUGCAAUCUACCCUUUUGCAGAGGGAGUAGUCCAGAGAAAUUUGGAUUAAUACCUCAUAGUAUGUGAGGAUGGCAUCAUUUUCACAUUAAAGGUCACAACGGCAAAAGAUGAGCAUGCGUCCCAUUAGCUAGUUGGUAAGGUAACGGCUUACCAUGGCUACGAUGGGUAGGGGUCCUGAGAGGGAGAUCCCCCANACUGGUACUGAGA
rnacentral:rRNA from 1 species